GACGAACGCUGGCGGCGUGCUUAACACAUGCAAGUCGAACGGAAAGGCCCUGCUCUUGCUGCGUGCUCGAGAGGCGAAAGGGUGUGUAACACGCGUGUAAACUGUCCCUGACUUUGGGAUAUCUUCAGGAAACAGGGGCUCUAAUCGCAUAUGAGCUCCUGCAGCACGGUGUGGGUUGGAAAGAUUCGGCGGUUGGGGAUGUGCUCGCGGCUUAUCAGCUUGUUGGUGAGGUAGUGGCUUACCAAGGCUUUGACGGGUAGCCGGCCUGAGAGGGUGACCGGCCACAUUGGGACUGAGAUACGGCCCAGACUGCUACGGGAGGCAGCAGUGGGGAAUAUUGCGCAAUGGGCGGAAGCCUGAUGCAGCAACGCCGCGUGCGGGAUGACGGCCUUCGGGUUAUAAACCGCUUUCGACUGUGACGAAGCGGGAGUGACGGUAAUGGGUAAAAAAGCACCGGCUAACUACGUG
rnacentral:rRNA from 1 species